rnacentral:rRNA from 1 species
AGAUUGAACGCUAGCGGGAUGCUUUACACAUGCAAGUCGAACGGCAGCGCGGACUUCGGUCUGGCGGCGAGUGGCGAACGGGUGAGUAAUAUAUCGGAACGUGCCCAGUAGCGGGGGAUAACUACGCGAAAGCGUGGCUAAUACCGCAUACGCCCUACGGGGGAAAGGGGGGGAUCGCAAGACCUCUCACUAUUGGAGCGGCCGAUAUCAGAUUAGCUAGUUGGUGAGGUAAAGGCCCACCAAGGCCACGAUCUGUAGCUGGUUUGAGAGGACGACCAGCCACACUGGGACUGAGACACGGCCCAGACUCCUACGGGAGGCAGCAGUGGGGAAUUUGGACAAUGGGGGAAACCUGAUCAGCCAUCCCGCGUGCGCGAUGAAGGCCUUCGGGUUGUAAGCACUUUGGCAGGAAGAACGCGCGAUUAAUACUUGGCGUCACUGACGGUACCUGCAGAAUAAGCACCGGCUAACUACGUGCCAGCAGCCGCGGUAA